CGUGAAGGCAGCCUUUUAGGGCUGCUGGGCUCGCUCUACUCCAGCUGCCUGCCACUGUCCUUUCACAUUAAGGCCCCAGCCAGCCCCCACCUGUCAAGGGCAAGCUCCCCACUUCAUCACUGCCGGCUCAGGCAAUGCCAGCCAGGACCGCCCCUGCCCACCCCAUCUCCCAAAAGCUGCGGCCAGAUGGAGGGAACACUAGUCCCACUGGCCAUGCCUCCCCACAAUACUCUCUGCCCACUCCAGGGCUGAAGGCAAGGUGGGCCAGAAGUCCCCUCCUGACACCUCAGCCCCUGCGAGACAGGGACCAAAGCUGUGAUUCAGUCACGCAGGCCAGGGAGGAGCAGUUCAAACUCAGCAACAACGCAGCCAUGAAGAAGCCCGCUCUGUUCAAGACAGUCACCUGGAGCCACAGGUGCCACCGGGUUUCCUGAGGCAAGAGGGGAGAGCAAAGAGGCCUGCAGAGAAGAGGAUGACGUGGAGGAAGAGGAGGAACUGCUGGACUUGGAUUUGGAGGGAGCUUCGGGUUCCUGGAAAGAUAAAGGAGAAGUUGGCCGGGCGCGGUGGCUCACGCCUGUAAUCCCAGCACUUUGGGAGGCCGAGGCAGGUGGAUCACCUGAGGUCAGGAGUUCAAGACCAGCCUGGCCAACACAGUGGAGCCCUGUUUCUACUAAAAAUACAAAAAUUAGCCGGGUGUUGUGGCGCGCACCUGUAGUCCCAGCUACUGCAGAGGCUGAGGCAGGAGAAUUGCUUGAAAUCGGGAGGUGGAGGCUGCAGUGAGCCAAGAUUGUGCCACUGAACUCCAGCCUGGGCGACAGAGCGAGACUACGUCUCAAAAAAAAAAAAGAUAAAGGAGAAGGUGUCACACCUCCACUGCCUGCUCCCAGGGUCCAGAGCGCCAUGCUGUCCCCAAGGAACACUGGGCACCUUGCAGCCAUCAACUCCUGUGGCUUCCAGACCAGAGAGGCAGUCAGGCCUCCAUGCUGCCUGCUGGGUCAGAAUUCUACAGCGUGUGCUUUAGGGAGUCAGAUCCAACACCGCCUCCCUACCACCCCGUUCUCCCAACUUCAACAGGAGUGAUCUCCUCAAACCUCCUCAAACAAGGCAUCAAUCACUGCCUUGUGGCCACUCCUCAGUCAGCAGAACUCCUGCAGCCCCCACCAUCCUGCUCAAAAGAAAGAUUUUCAAGAUAAUGUAAGGCCAGUGUAGACCAGCCAACAAGAUUCUACAGCAGGGAAUCCUGUUCAUUCAGGAAAUCCUCCCGGAAAGGACAAUGAAGUGUUGCAUGGAUCUCCUCCGCUGAAAUAUUAACCUGUGCACUGACUGCUGUGAUCCUGUGCGUCGCCAAGGGCCAUACCCCCACCCCCUCCAAUACCAAGCAGGGCAAGUCCAGCCAGGGGAGCCAGGCGGAGCUGUCAGUGAAACCCCCCACGUCUUGCCAUUGCUUGAACAGCACUCCCUGGCCCUUCAUGCCAGGUGGGCACAUCCACUGCCCUCUCCUCACCACCCCUUGGCCUUGAACAUCUCAAGGAGGCCUAUCUCUUAACCUAAACUUCCUACCUAAAAAUAGAAAUGAUAUCUAGAAUUACAGAAACAAGUCUGGCCCAAUCCGGCCUCAUGGUGCUACUUGGUACUGUAUGCUGCAGGCCAGAGCAAAAUAAAUGUUUCUUUCUUGAGAGAGACAUCACAAUAGGCACAACUGCGUGCUGUGUGUUCCAGCUCCCUCUCUGAGCCUUCUUGCCUGAUGGCACACGCGUGCAGGGCUGGAAGGGCAGACCUGCGUCACUGUGGCAAACCUGCUCUCCUGGUUUUCUGUUAGCGCCAUGUGUAAAUUACUCAGCAGAAAAGGCCAAGAGAAGCUAUAACAUCUUUAUCUGAAGCAACUGAAAAAGUUGGUUUUUGCAAGUAUGGCUGUUGGAAACAUCAAAGCAGCACUUACUUGGGGUCUUCUCAGGGAUGGAUACAGGCUGGCUAGGAGAAGGUGGGAGAGGGGCUGGCUGGGGACUUUUACAGCCAGCCACAGAGAUGGCCCUGGACACAAUCUUGCUAAGGGACCUCAGACCACAGCCCCAGCUCCAGCCUCCCGGCAGGCGAGCAGCGCCCAGCACGACUCCAACCAGCCACCGUCCCUCCCCCACACCCUCCCCACAGUGCUGUCAGCGUCCUCACUUCUUCUGGAAGGCCAGGAGCAGCCUCGGGUCCAGGAUGUU
rnacentral:lncRNA from 1 species